rnacentral:rRNA from 1 species
CCUAGGGGGUGAAAAGCCCCCUCGCCGUAAGCGCAAGGUUUUCUACGCAACGUUCAUCGGCGUAGAGUGAGUCGGCCCCUAAGGCGAGGCAGAGAUGCGUAGCUGAUGGGAAACAGGUCAAUAUUCCUGCACCGAUGUGUAGUGCGAUGUGGGGACGGAUCUUAAUAGGUCAUCCGGGUGUUGGAUAUCCCGGUUUAGUUGGAAGUAGGCGAUGGGUAGGCAAAUCCGCCCGUCAUAUACCGAGGCCAACGAUCGAGCCAGCUUGCUGGUGAAGUGACUGAACGAGGUUCCAGGAAAAGCCACUAAGCUUCAGCUAUACACGACCGUACCGCAAACCGACACUGGUGCGCGAGAUGAGUAUUCUAAGGCGCUUGAGAGAACUCAGGAGAAGGAACUCGGCAAAUUGACACCGUAACUUCGGAAGAAGGUGUGCCCUAUUAGUGUGAAGUGAACAACGGAGCAUGAAUGGGUUGCAAAAAAUCGGUGGCUGCGACUGUUUAUUAAAAACACAGCACUCUGCAAACACGAAAGUGGACGUAUAGGGUGUGACGCCUGCCCGGUGCUGGAAGAUUAAAUGAUGGGGUGCAAGCUCUUGAUUGAAGUCCCAGUAAACGGCGGCCGUAACUAUAACGGUCCUAAGGUAGCGAAAUUCCUUGUCGGGUAAGUUCCGACCUGCACGAAUGGCGUAACGAUGGCCACACUGUCUCCUCCUGAGACUCAGCGAAGUUGAAAUGUUUGUGAUGAUGCAAUCUCCCCGCGGAAAGACGGAAAGACCCCAUGAACCUUUACUGUAGCUUUGUAUUGGACUUUGAACAGAUCUGUGUAGGAUAGGUGGGAGGCUUUGAAGCAGGGUCGCUAGAUCUUGUGGAGCCAACGUUGAAAUACCACCCUGGUGUGUUUGAGGUUCUAACCUAGGUCCAUUAUCUGGAUCGGGGACAGUGCAUGGUAGGCAGUUUGACUGGGGCGGUCUCCUCCCAAAGCGUAACGGAGGAGUUCGAAGGUACGCUAGUUACGGUCGGACAUCGUGACGAUAGGGCAAUGGCAUAAGCGUGCUUAACUGCGAGACUGACAAGUCGAGCAGAUGCGAAAGCAGGACAUAGUGAUCCGGUGGUUCUGUAUGGAAGGGCCAUCGCUCAACGGAUAAAAGGUACUCUGGGGAUAACAGGCUGAUACCGCCCAAGAGUUCAUAUCGACGGCGGUGUUUGGCACCUCGAUGUCGGCUCAUCUCAUCCUGGGGCUGUAGCCGGUCCCAAGGGUAUGGCUGUUCGCCAUUUAAAGAGGUACGUGAGCUGGGUUUAAAACGUCGUGAGACAGUUUGGUCCCUAUCUUCCGUGGGCGCUGCAGAUUGGAGGAAGCCUGCUCCUAGUACGAGAGGACCGGAGUGGACACACCUCUGGUGUAUCGGUUGUCACGCCAGUGGCAUUGCCGAGUAGCUAAGUGUGGAAGAGAUAACCGCUGAAAGCAUCUAAGCGGGAGACUCGUUUCAAGAUGAGAUCUGCCGGGGCCUUGAGCCCCCUGAAGAGUCGUUCAAGACCAGGACGUUGAUAGGUCAGGUGUGGAAGCGCAGUAAUGCGUUAAGCUAACUGAUACUAAUUGCUCGUGCGGCUUGACC